UACGUAGGGUGCAAGCGUUGUCCGGAAUUAUUGGGCGUAAAGAGCUCGUAGGCGGUCUGUUGCGUCGGCUGUGAAAACCCGGGGCUCAACUCCGAGCUUGCAGUCGAUACGGGCAGGCUAGAGUUCGGCAGGGGAGACUGGAAUUCCUGGUGUAGCGGUGAAAUGCGCAGAUAUCAGGAGGAACACCGGUGGCGAAGGCGGGUCUCUGGGCCGAUACUGACACUGAGGAGCGAAAGCGUGGGGAGCGAACAGG
rnacentral:rRNA from 1 species